rnacentral:rRNA from 1 species
UAGGGAAUCUUCGGCAAUGGACGAAGGUCUGACCGAGCAACGCCGCGUGAGUGAAGAAGGUCUUCGGAUCGUAAAACUCUGUUGGUAGAGAAGAACGUUGGUGAGAGUGGAAAGCUCAUCAAGUGACGGUAACUACCCAGAAAGGGACGGCUAACUACGUGCCCG